GUCGAACGGUAACAGUUCGAGCUUGCUAGAAGAUGACGAGUGGCGGACGGGUGAGUAAUGCUUGGGAACUUGCCUUUGCGAGGGGGAUAACAGUUGGAAACGACUGCUAAUACCGCAUAAUGUCUUCGGACCAAACGGGGCUUCGGCUCCGGCGCAAAGAGAGGCCCAAGUGAGAUUAGCUAGUUGGUAAGGUAACGGCUUACCAAGGCGACGAUCUCUAGCUGUUCUGAGAGGAAGAUCAGCCACACUGGGACUGAGACACGGCCCAGACUCCUACGGGAGGCAGCAGUGGGGAAUAUUGCACAAUGGGGGAAACCCUGAUGCAGCCAUGCCGCGUGUGUGAAGAAGGCCUUCGGGUUGUAAAGCACUUUCAGUUGUGAGGAAAAGUUAGUAGUUAAUACCUGCUAGCCGUGACGUUAACAACAGAAGAAGCACCGGCUAACUCCGUGCCAGCAGCCGCGGUAAUACGGAGGGUGCGAGCGUUAAUCGGAAUUACUGGGCGUAAAGCGCACGCAGGCGGUUUGUUAAGCUAGAUGUGAAAGCCCCGGGCUCAACCUGGGAUGGUCAUUUAGAACUGGCAGACUAGAGUCUUGGAGAGGGGAGUGGAAUUCCAGGUGUAGCGGUGAAAUGCGUAGAUAUCUGGAGGAACAUCAGUGGCGAAGGCGACUCCCUGGCCAAAGACUGACGCUCAUGUGCGAAAGUGUGGGUAGCGAACAGGAUUAGAUACCCUGGUAGUC
rnacentral:rRNA from 1 species